AACGAACGCUGGCGGCAGGCCUAACACAUGCAAGUCGAACGCUCCAGCAAUGGAGAGUGGCAGACGGGUGAGUAACGCGUGGGAACCUACCCUUUGGUUCGGAAUAGCCCAGGGGAAACUUGGGGGUAAUACCGGAUAAGCCCUUCGGGGGAAAGAUUUAUCGCCAUCGGAUGGGCCCGCGUCGGAUUAGCUAGUUGGUGGGGUAACGGCCUACCAAGGCGACGAUCCGUAGCUGGUCUGAGAGGAUGAUCAGCCACACUGGGACUGAGACACGGCCCAGACACCUACGGGAGGCAG
rnacentral:rRNA from 1 species